CUCCUGUCAAGAGGCCUCCCCACCUGCUGGGGAUUCUGUCAACUCUGAAGUCCUGUAUGGUGGUGGCGGUCCCAGGAAGGUGGCGUCAGCAUCUGCAGCCGCGUCGACGUUGUCGGAGCCUCCGCGGAGGACCCAGGAGAGCCGGACUAGGACCAGGGCCCUGGGCCUCCCCACACUCCCCAUGGAGAAGCUGGCGGCCUCUACAGAGCCCCAAGG
rnacentral:lncRNA from 1 species